rnacentral:lncRNA from 1 species
AUGCAGCCGCACCAGAAACCAUCCCCAAAUGGAGAAGGCAAUGAGAAAUGGGUGCAGAUCUGGAUAACAGAGGUGGAGUGGCGUUUUGCUGCCCUCUGCAUCACCCUCAGCGCCGCACUGACCCCGGGGCUGCGAUCUGGAAAUCCAUGCUUGCAGGGUGAGCAAGAGCUGGGACGGAUCGUGGGGCACGCAUGUGAGUGGAGCAGGGCGGAGGUUUGCACGCUGCAAGCACCAGCGUUUGGUUUGUCAUCCAAGGGAAACAAAACCUCAGCCCUGAGCAUCUCCCAAGCGCAGCCUUUGGGACACGGUCAGCUCCACGUCCCUGCUCUGCGUGCUGAGCCUGGAGGAUGGUGCAGAGGGAUGGAGGAUGCAGAGGGAUGGAGGAUGCAGAGGGAUGGAAGAUGCAGAAGGAUGGAGGAUGCAGAAGGAUGCAGGAUGCAUGGGACACCUGAGCCGAUGGCACAGCUCCUGCUGCAGCCAGGAUGCAACCCCUGGGACUCGCAGCCUGGUGCUCUGUGGGAAAGGGCAGCCCUGGAGCUAUAAGGAGCAGCAGCCCGACAUGCCACCAGCACUGUGCAGCUCUGCUUUUCCCACAGAGCACCAGGACCAGCCUGCUGCAUUCCUGGAAUGCUAUUUUAUCCCCAGCACGAUUUACAAAAGAGCCUGGCGAUGGCGGAGGGGCUCGGCGGUGACCUUGUUUAUAUUGCGGGAGCGAUAGGAAAAGCAGUUUGCGUCCUGAACUGCCCAUAAAAAUGGGCUCUGUUGUUGUUGUUGUGCGCGUGCUUUGCUUUGUUUUAUCGCCAUUCCCUGAAACACGGAGCAAAAAUCCUCUGGGAGGCGGAUUGCCUCCAGCCCAUGCCCCUGCCAUGCUGAGAUCCCAGCGGGAGCGCAGCACCAGCACCACCAGCACCACCGGUUCCACUGGGAGCGACCCAACCUGCAGCCACCCCUCUGCAAACCACCCCAGGAAGCUGCCAGGAAGCCCAGCACGCUCCUCACGAAAGGCACAUUGCCACGGGGCCGGGCCCGCCUGCUGCAGGAGAUUAAUUAUUAUUCAAGUGCUGAUAAAGCGAGCAAGUUAAAUCCAGCGAUAAAGGGUUAGAUAAAGCGGAGCUGCUCUGUUUGCAUUUUAUGGCAGGCAGGAGCUGGCUGCUCGCUGCUAACCGGGCUCUGGCGGCUGUUGCAGCCUUUGGGGACGUGUGACCCUGUGCUGGCUGCAGUGGGGUUGCAAUAUCCUGAUGUUCCUGCACUUGGUUUGCAGCUGGAAAAGCAAACGCUGGAUGCACGGUGCUGGGGUUCUCUGCUUCGGGCGAUGGGUCCUGUGCUGGUCACUGGUGCUCAAUAGUGGCCAUCAAAGUGGGGACACCCCCAGAGCUCUGCUGUAUCCGUGUCACCGUGUCCUGCAAGGAUGCAGCAGGGGUAGCAGCGCUGCAGGAUGCUCUCAUUCCCCAGCCUGGAGCAUCUCUUAGUGGUCCGGUGACGGUGGGACGCUGGGGUGCAGGGUGUUGGGAGCCAUCCUGGGCACAGUUUGCCCUCACCCCUG